AGUGAACGCUGGCGGUAGGCCUAACACAUGCAAGUCGAACGGCAGCACAGUAAGAGCUUGCUCUUACGGGUGGCGAGUGGCGGACGGGUGAGGAAUACAUCGGAAUCUACUUUUUCGUGGGGGAUAACGUAGGGAAACUUACGCUAAUACCGCAUACGACCUACGGGUGAAAGCAGGGGAUCUUCGGACCUUGCGCGAUUGAAUGAGCCGAUGUCGGAUUAGCUAGUUGGCGGGGUAAAGGCCCACCAAGGCGACGAUCCGUAGCUGGUCUGAGAGGAUGAUCAGCCACACUGGAACUGAGACACGGUCCAGACUCCUACGGGAGGCAGCAGUGGGGAAUAUUGGACAAUGGGCGCAAGCCUGAUCCAGCCAUACCGCGUGAGUGAAGAAGGCCUUCGGGCUGUAAAGCCCUUUUGUUGGGAAAGAAAAGCAGCAGGUUAAUACCCCGCUGUUCUGACGGUACCCAAAGAAUAAGCACUGGCUAACUUCGUG
rnacentral:rRNA from 1 species